rnacentral:rRNA from 1 species
CUCGUAGGCGGUUCGUCGCGUCCGGUGUGAAAGUCCAUCGCUUAACGGUGGAUCCGCGCCGGGUACGGGCGGGCUUGAGUGCGGUAGGGGAGACUGGAAUUCCCGGUGUAACGGUGGAAUGUGUAGAUAUCGGUAAGAACACCAAUGGCGAAGGCAGGUCUCUGGGCCGUUACUGACGCUGAGGAGCGAAAGCGUGGGGAGCGAACA